GAUACCUUGCACAACAUCAUUAACUUCAUUUCCCCUUUUCUACACAAAACACAAAAAACUUCCCAUCACAACACCGAUCGUCUCGGAAAAACUCAGGAGUCAGCCGGAAAAAAAAACCAGCAAAUAGUUUAGAGAGAGAAAAUAAAUUUCGGUGGAAGAAAUGUUGCAUCAGCCGCAGCCACCGCCGCAGCAACACCAGCGAGAGAGAGCUCGCCGCCGCUGCGAAGGCACCGCCAUGGGAGCCAUCGCCCUCGAUCUUCGUCCCGGCCUCGGCCUUGGUCCUUUCACUCUAGGAAUGCCAAUUUGUGAAGCGUUUGCGCAAAUUGAGCAGCAGCCUAACAUAUAUGAUGUGGUGCACGUCAAGUAUUUUGACGAGGAACCCCUAAAGUUGGAUAUGGUCAUCAGCUUUCCAGAUCAUGGGUUUCACCUCCGAUUUGAUCCUUGGUCCCAGAGGUUGCGGCUUAUUGAAAUUUUUGAUGUUAAAAGGCUUCAGAUGCGAUAUGCCACCUCUCUGAUAGGAGGACAGACCACUCUUGCAACCUUUGUAGCUGUAUAUCAGCUUUUUGGUCCUACAUAUCCAGGGAUUUACGACAAAGAAAGAGGCAUUUAUAAUCUGUUAUAUCCAGGACUGUCCUUUGCUUUUCCGAUUCCUACACAGUAUACAGACUGUUGCAAUGAUGGGGAAGCGGAAUUGCCUCUUGAAUUUCCUGAUGGUACUACUCCAGUUACUUGCCGUGUCUGCAUAUAUGAUAGUUCAAUGGGUAAGAAGGUAGGAGUUGGAUCACUAAUGGACAAGGCUACUGUUCCUCCGCUUCCUGCUGGUAGCCUGUACAUGGAAGAAGUGCAUGUUAAGUUAGGAGAUGAAUUGCGGUUUUCUAUUGGUGAUCAGCAUGUACCUUUUGGUGCAUCUCCACAGGAUGUUUGGACUGAAUUAGGCCGUCCUUGUGGAAUACAUCAGAAGCAGGUUGACCAAAUGGUAAUUCAUUCAGCCUCAGAUCCGCGUCCACGAACAACCCUUUGUGGAGAUUACUUUUAUAAUUACUUCACACGUGGCUUGGACAUAUUGUUUGAUGGGCAGACACAUAAAAUCAAAAAGUUUGUUCUGCACACAAACUAUCCCGGGCAUCCUGAUUUUAACUCGUACAUAAAGUGCAAUUUCGUCAUCCAUUCAUCUGACUUUGAUGGAUCUUUCCCAGAUGAAAAUAGUUUGAAACACUGCAUUACUGCGAGCACGAAGUGGGAACAGGUCAAGGAAAUUCUCGGAGAUUGUGGUCGUGCUGCCAUCCAAACUCAAGGGUCUACAAACAAUCCUUUUGGAUCCACCUUUGUGUAUGGUUAUCAAAAUGUUGCAUUUGAGGUUAUGAAGAAUGGUUAUAUUGCCACGGUGACUCUGUUUCAGUCCUGAUAAAUUACUGAUGUUGCUGUGCAGAAUUGGAGAAUGGUCAGAUUGAUGGUGCGAUACAUCCGUUGCUAAAAUGUUGGAAGUGUAUAGCCACAUCUAAGCCAACAGCCUGCUUUUCCCCAGACGAAAGGUCGGGAAAUGAGCAAUCACAACGUUAAACGUACAGUUGCAUGUAGUAUUAUGUACAGUUCUGCUUACAGUGACUGGAAUUUCCGAGAAGCAAAUACGUGGAGGAAAUUGUGGCACAUAAAUUCGUUUCAUCAUGUAUAUAACUAAUUCUUAACUUGGAGAGGCGUAUAGAUCGCCUAGCUCCUUCUGUAACCGUUGUUUUAACUGGUUAUGUAGUUCAUGUUGCUUACACUUUCUGUUUCAAAUUCUAAAAUUAUGAUCUGUAUAUAAUUAUCCCAAUAAUUGCAUUGGAUAUGUCAUGUCUUUUGUUUUGCCUA